GAUGAAGAACACAGCGAAAUGCGAUACUUGGUGUGAAUUGCAGAAUCCCGUGAACCAUCGAGUCUUUGAACGCAAGUUGCGCCCGAAGCCUCGGCUAAGGGCACGUCUGCCUGGGCGUCACGCAUCGCGUCUCCCCCAAACCGCCAAGGCGGAGGGGAAGGAAGAUGGCUUCCCGUGCCUCACCCGGGCGCGGUUGGCCUAAAUUUGGAGCCCGCGGCACUUAGCUCUCGCGGCGUUAGGUGGUGAACAAGGCCUUGGCCGUGCAAACAACCCGCUGCGAAGCUCUAUGUCACGUGCGCUCGUCGGACCCUUUGAAGUUGCCUUUGGUGACUUAAAACCUUUGCGACCCCAGGUCAGGCGGGGCUACCCGCUGAAUUUAAGCAUAUCAAUAAGCGGAGGA
rnacentral:misc_RNA from 1 species